GGACUACCGGGGUUUCUAAUCCCUUUCGCUCCCCACGCUUUCGUCCCUGAGUGUCAGCAAUGUCCCAGUACGCUGCCUUCGCAUUUGGUGUUCUUGCCGAUAUGAACGCAUAUUACUACUACACCGGCAAUUCCGCGUACCUCUUCCAUGCUCGAGUCAUGUCGUAUCGACGGCGGUGUCCGGGUUGAGCCCGAACAUUUAACCAUCGACGUGCACGACCACCUGCGGACCCUUUACGCCCAGUAAAUCCGGAUAACGCUUGAGGUCUCUGUAUUACCGCGGCUGCUGGCAC
rnacentral:rRNA from 1 species